rnacentral:rRNA from 1 species
AGAACGAACGCUGGCGGCAUGCCUAACACAUGCAAGUCGAACGAGACCUUCGGGUCUAGUGGCGCACGGGUGCGUAACGCGUGGGAAUCUGCCCUUGGGUUCGGGAUAACAGUUGGAAACGACUGCUAAUACCGGAUGAUAUCUUCGGAUCAAAGAUUUAUCGCCCAGGGAUGAGCCCGCGUAGGAUUAGCUUGUUGGUGAGGUAAGAGCUCACCAAGGCGACGAUCCUUAGCUGGUCUGAGAGGAUGAUCAGCCACACUGGGACUGAGACACGGCCCAGACUCCGUACGGGAGGC